UUAUGUUGUAAUUCACAAGCAUAUUAGAAUUACAUUGAUCAUUAAGCUUCAAAAUCAAGUUUUCAACACUUAUUAGUAUCUUCAAACUCCACAUUUCAACAUUAGCUAACAUCUUCAAAUUCCAAAAUCAAAUUUAAACACAAAAUCUUUAAUAUUCUAAGACUCACUUCAACCACACAAUUACAUAGUCAUAAUUAAAUAUGCAAGACAAUUUACAGUGAAAUCAAUGAUGGUCAUUAUGAUCACUAUCAUCACGUGACCUCCUUGCAUCCAUGGGCGAAAUAGAUCCACUAGCCGCAUCAUUUGGCUACGUAAAACGCAAAGUAUAAAACUUAAACAACAUUUCAACCUUUAUUAUAAAACACUUAUAUCUGUGAAUAACUAAAAACAGCAUCAUAAAUACAAAUUGAUCAAUCAACAACAUCAUAAGUCAUGGAUGCAUGUGGGAUGGAAGAAGUUACAGGGGAGGGUGAAGAAACUAAAAAACAAGAACGAACUACUGCAACUAAAAUUGUAUUUUGAUCCCUAAGGCUUGAAGAGCUUCUACCCGACCAAUCAAAAUUGAGAAUUGCCAUCAUUGCAAUUCACAAUAUUUUUAACAUUCAAAUUAGUAAAAUUCGAUAUAGAACAUUCGCGGUUUGAGCUACUCCACUUCGAAAAGCAGCAGCAGCAAGUAAUGCUACUCCAUAUAUUUGAUAAGACAGUUAAACUUAUAUCCAUUUCCUCUGCAAAUAUUUUAUUUUUUGCUCCCUAAAUUUCAAGUAACACUUUGAUAAUGUUUUAAAAUAUUUUUACACAAUCAAUCAUUGAAAAAAUGAUUUAUCAUUGUAUUUAUUUUUUCAUAGAUAAUAAUUUAUCACUGUAUUUCUUAAUGUUUUUCAGUAUAACAUAUAUAAUAUAUAAUCUUUAUUCCUCAAAUGUCAUCCAUGAAUACAGAUAUCAAGUACAUUCAGUAAACUUCAGAACCAAUUUAAGUAAACUGACAUACACAUUCAGUAAACUUCAGAACCAAUUUAAGUAAACUGACAUACUCAAUUGAAAAAAAAACAAAGAGAACUUUACUUCCUGCUGUGGGAGAAAUCAUUGAAGGAGAAUCAAAGAGCACCACAAAUUGUUUUGUAAAAGAUAAGGUGAAGGGGAACCAAUAAUAAUGGAAGCAAAAUAAAGGACAAGUGUGGCUGACGACAUUCAUGAUAAGUUGUCAUCCUGGUGAUAUGCUAUCAAGGCCACCAUCAGACUUAACCAGAGACUGAGAGUUGAAGAGAAGUUGUGACGACAUUUUGUGACAAGGCGCCAGAGUUUUGAUAAGGCGUUAGGAUCAUCGUUAGCCUUAGGCAAAAAUUAUAAAAAGGGAAGAGGAGCUGACGACAUCCAUGAUACAUCAUCAGACUCCUGACACAUAGAGGAGCUGACGACAUCCAUGAUGCAUCAUCAGACUCCUGACACAUCGUCAUUCACAUCAUCAGCCUUAAGUAGAGCUUGUCAAAAUAGAAGAAAAUCUGACGCCAUUCCUGAUAAGGCCUCAGACCCUUGAUUAGGCGUCACCUAAUGGCGUCAUCUGUCCGAGAAAUUUACUUAAGUUGUUAUUUUAUUUCCUUAACUAGACUCAAGUAUAAAUAAGAGCUUUUAGGGUUUUCUAAUGAUCAUUAACAUAUCUUGCAAUAUAUGUUAUGCAUGAUUUAUCUCUCUCGAGUUCUAAUACGCUCUAGAACAUUAUUGUUGAGAGAAGAUUGUCGUCAAUAUUUUAGGAGUUUUGUAUUAAGAUUCAGUUCAGGUUACACUUCUUGAUUUUCAUCAUCAUUGUAAGUUAAUAUGCCCAGCUAUGAAUUCAACUUAUGUACUUGUUUAUUGCAUCAUGAGUGGCUAAA